AUACUUACCUGGCAGGGGAGAACCAUGAUCACGAAGGGGGUCUUCCCAGGGCAAGGCUUAUCUAUUGCACUCCAGAUGUGCUGACCCCUGCAACUUCCCCAAAUGUGGGAAAAUUAACUGCACAAUUUAUGGUAGUGGGGGACUGCAUUUGUGUUCUCCCCUG
ensembl:snRNA U1 U1 spliceosomal RNA